UGCGUAGGCGGUCGGCAAAGUCUGAUGUGAAAUCUCCGGGCUCAACCCGGAAACUGCAUCGGAUACUGGUCGGCUAGAGGAUUGGAGGGGGGACUGGAAUUCUCGGUGUAGCAGUGAAAUGCGUAGAUAUCGAGAGGAACACCAGUGGCGAAGGCGAGUCCCUGGACAAUUCCUGACGCUGAGGCACGAAAGCUAGGGGAGCAAACG
rnacentral:rRNA from 1 species